UACGUAGGGUGCAAGCGUUGUCCAGAAUUAUUGGGCGUAAAGAGCUCGUAGGCGGUCUGUUGCGUCGGCUGUGAAAACCCGGGGCUCAACUCCGGGCCUGCAGCCGAUACGGGCAGACUAGAGUUCGGCAGGGGAGACUGGAAUUCCUGGUGUAGCGGUGAAAUGCGCAGAUAUCAGGAGGAACACCGGUGGCGAAGGCGGGUCACUGGCCCGGUACUGACGCUGAGGUGCGAAAGCGUGGGGGAGCAAACAGG
rnacentral:rRNA from 1 species